GACGAACGCUGGCGGCGUGCCUAACACAUGCAAGUCGAACGGAGUGUUGCGCUGAUUUGAAGGUAGCUUGCUACUGAAUUUUCUUGUAACACUUAGUGGCGGACGGGUGAGUAACGCGUGAGUAACCUGCCUUACAGAGGGGGACAACAGUUGGAAACGACUGCUAAUACCGCAUAACAUAUUUUGAGGGCAUCCUCGGAAUAUCAAAGGAGCAAUCCGCUGUAAGAUGGACUCGCGUCCAAUUAGAUAGUUGGUGGGGUAACGGCCCACCAAGUCGACGAUUGGUAGCCGGACUGAGAGGUUGAACGGCCACAUUGGGACUGAGACACGGCCCAGACUCCUACGGGAGGCAGCAGUGGGGGAUAUUGCACAAUGGAGGAAACUCUGAUGCAGCAACGCCGCGUGAGGGAAGAAGGUUUUCGGAUUGUAAACCUCUGUUUUUAGUGUAAGAAACAAAUGACGGUAGCUAAAGAGGAAGCCACGGCUAACACGUGCCAGCAGCCGACGG
rnacentral:rRNA from 1 species